AUGGAGAUGAAGAUGGGGGGGGAGACCCUCAGAAUAUUACCCCGAAGGCAACUUUUCCUCUGAGGGACUCUCCCAUUCGAAAUCCGAAAGUGGCGGGCUCCUGGUGAGAGAAACUUUCUCUUUUAAUUCGUCUUUGGAUGGCCGAUUUGUCCCAUGGUCGUCUUGGCGGGUGAGUUGGUAUUAUUUCCCAUCAGGUGGCAACUCCUUGUGUCGGGUUGGAGGCGGGUGGCAGCACUCGUUGGGAAAAAAGGACGUCGACUUGAGGACAACAUUGGAGGGCAGUGGAUUUGGCGUGAGGCAAGUGAGAAGCAUCGUCGUGUGGGUGGGCAUAGUGUGGCGUCUUCGUGUCUAAUCAGGUACAGGUGCAGGUGAGUCCAAAGGAUGUCGUCAGGAUGGGUAAAAUAUAUCACAGGAAGAAGAAGACAUGUAAACAAAGAAGAUUUCUGGACAGGAUUUAGGAGCAUAUCACAGAUUGAACAGGUCCCAGGUGUUGAUGGCGAUGGAUGGCCUUUUCGCAUGUGUCCUUACAUGGUCUGCGCGUUCGAGAAGAAGUUCGUCGAGUGGUGUGUACGAAGUGCAGAGAGUUAUAUUUUCGAGUGGGAGCAGGUCGCGUCAUCUUUAUUUUCGCAUGGAGAGCAGUGGAUCAUGUGAGUAAGGAUUUACGUAUUUUCCGUGUCCAUCUGUGAGUCAGGAAGAAAGUCGUCAGGUACUUGUAGGAGAGAGCCCAGAGAUCGUGCCAGAGAUGUCCGUAUGCAUGGUGUAGGAGCGUGGGCUUUCCUAUUGGCAUCUUUUGCUGGGAGCGCGGUUCCUCCUUGUGUCGUGGAGGAGGCGGUUUGCAGCAUUCAUUAUGGAGAGGGUAAACAUGCAGGAAUUUAUCUAAUUUGGUCUAGUCAGGUACGGAUACAUGUGAGUCCAGUGGAUGUCGUCAGGUUGGGUAAAAUUUGUCCCAGGUGAAUAUCACAGAUAAUUAGAUCAGUCAGUUUUAGGUUCAAUUGCAUGGAGUGCAUGUAUAAAGGAAGACAUAUAAACAAAGAAGAUUUCUAGACGGGAUUUUAGACAUAUUAAAAAACAGCAUUGAGCAGGUCCUCAGUGUCAGUGGCAGGGGAAGGCGUUUGACGGCUGGGUGUUGUUCCAUGGUCCUGAGUUUAUUUGCCCUUUCUCCUUACGGGUUCAGCACGUUCGUAGAGGGGUUCGUCGGGCUAGUAACGUGUUCAUGUAGAGUCAACAGGUUUUUUUCCGAUAUAAGUGAGCGUCAUCAAGGAAAGAAUUUUUUUGUCUGAGUGUCUGGAUGAGUAGAAAUGUAGCGUGGGUUGCAGCGCAGUCAGGGGAUGUCCAAUUUAUUCGCCCCUAGGAUGGACUAAAUUUGGAUCAGGUCGCCGGCCAUUAGCAUGUCCAUUAGGGAUACGCUACUGCCAAGAGAAGAGGCACCCUUUUCCUUGUCAACCGAUUCUUCUAGAGGUUUUUUUUUUUUUUAACCUUUUUUAUUUAUGUGUAUUUUUUAACAUUGCAUGUUUGUAUUAUGUGGCUUUACAUUGUCUGUUUUAACAGUGUCUGUGUUGUGUAAAUUAAUAAAUAACUAUUUUAACAUUG